GAUGAACGCUGACAGAAUGCUUAACACAUGCAAGUCUACUUGAACUUCGGUUUGGGUGGCGGACGGGUGAGUAACGCGUAAAGAACUUGCCUCACAGAUAGGGACAACAUUUGGAAACGAAUGCUAAUACCUGAUAUUAUGAUUUUAGGGCUUCCUAGAAUUAUGAAAGCUAUAUGCACUGUGAGAGAGCUUUGCGUCCCAUUAGCUAGUUGGAGAGGUAACGGCUCACCAAGGCGAUGAUGGGUAGCCGGCCUGAGAGGGUGAUCGGCCACAAGGGGACUGAGACACGGCCCUUACUCCUACGGGAGGCAGCAGUGGGGAAUAUUGGACAAUGGACCAAGAGUCUGAUCCAGCAAUUCUGUGUGCACGAUGAAGUUUUUCGGAAUGUAAAGUGCUUUCAGUUGGGAAGAAAAAAAUGACGGUACCAACAGAAGAAGUGACGGCUAAAUACGUG
rnacentral:rRNA from 1 species